rnacentral:sRNA from 1 species
GGUGGAGCUGGGUCAUGGUGACAUCUGUCACUCCUGUCAUUGCCAGAGUUGAUCUGCUGUUCUGGCUGGCCAGGCUGGUGUGUGCCCUCCCCACCCCCCUACCCCUGCCUCAUUUCAAAACCGCACAAUUGGCCAAAGGGGUCAAACUGCAGAUAAAUAAAAACUAGCCUUCCAGUGAGAGCAUGUGUGCCCACUUAUACUACCAGUUGUGACUUUGUUAGUGGAAUUUAAAGAUGGAUAAGGAAACUAAAACAAAACCAUUGAUUAGAUUUCUGUU